rnacentral:lncRNA from 1 species
CCUUGAGUUCUAACCAGCCAUCUGGAGCAGAAUUGCUAGACUCUUGCAGUUUAUCACGAUGUUUGGUUGAGCUAGAGUUCUCCAGACGAGUUGUAGGCUUGCUCAAAUGUAUACUCGAGUCAGCUGGUUGAGCAUGUGUUGAGCUUGCUUCAAAUGCCAUCUUAACCUCUGUUUCUGGCUCAAUCAAGCCUUUAAAGACCUCUGACCCUACUACUUCCUUGUGUGA